GACGAACGCUGGCGGCGUGCUUAAUACAUGCAAGUCGAACGGAAAGACCCUGCUUUUGUUGGUUUCUCGAGUGGCGAACGGGUGAGUAACACGUGUGUAUACUGUACUUGACUUUGGGGUAACUUCAGGGAAAUGGGGCUAAUAUAGGGUAGGAGCUCCUGCUGCAUGGUGGGGGUUGGUAAGUUACGGCGUUGGGGGAUGGACUAGAGGCUUAUGCGCUUGUUGGUGGGGUAGUGGCUUACGAAGGCUUUGACGGGUAGGCGGCCUGAGAGGGGGACCGGCCACAAUGCGCCUACGAGACGCACCAGACGCCUACGGGAGGCAGCAGGCGAGAAUAUUGCACAAUGGGCCGGCGCCUGAUGUGGCAACGCCGCGAGCGGGAUGAUGGCUUUCGAGUGAUAAACCAAUUUCGCAUGAGAUGAAGAGUGAGUGACGGUAAUGGGUAAAGAAGCCCCGGCUAACUACGUG
rnacentral:rRNA from 1 species